rnacentral:rRNA from 1 species
UACAGAGGUCUCAAGCGUUGUUCGGAUUCAUUGGGCGUAAAGGGUGCGUAGGCGGCGCGGUAAGUCGGAUGUGAAAUCUCGGAGCUUAACUCCGAAACUGCAUUCGAUACUGCCGUGCUUGAGGACUGGAGAGGAGACUGGAAUUUACGGUGUAGCGGUGAAAUGCGUAGAUAUCGUAAGGAAGACCAGUGGCGAAGGCGGGUCUCGUGGACAGUUCCUGACGCUGAGGCACGAAGGCCAGGGGAGCAAACGGG